rnacentral:rRNA from 1 species
UGGGGAAUAUUGGGCAAUGGGCGCAAGCCUGACCCAGCCAUGCCGCGUGAGUGAUGAAGGCCUUCGGGUCGUAAAGCUCUGUGGGGAGGGAAGAAACCCCUUGUAGCUAAUAUCUACGAGGCUUGACGGUACCUCCUUAGCAAGCACCGGCUAACUCCGUGCCAGCAGCCGCGGUAAUACGGAGGGUGCAAACGUUGCUCGGAAUCAUUGGGCGUAAAGCGCACGUAGGCGGCCUGUUAAGUCGGAUGUGAAAGCCCUGGGCUCAACCCAGGAAGUGCAUACGAAACUGGCAGGCUUGAAUAUGGAAGAGGGUCGCGGAAUUCCCGGUGUAGAGGUGAAAUUCGUAGAUAUCGGGAGGAACACCAGUGGCGAAGGCGGCGACCUGGGCCAAUAUUGACGCUGAGGUGCGAAAGCGUGGGGAGCAAACAGG